rnacentral:rRNA from 2 species
GACGAAGGUGGCGAGCGUUGUUCGGAAUCACUGGGCAUAAAGCGCACGUAGGCGGCGACGUAAGUUGGGUGUGAAAUCCCCCGGCCCAACCGGGGAACUGCGCCCAGUACUGCGUUGCUUGAGGAUCCAAGGGGUGCAUGGAAUUCCCGGUGGAGCGGUGAAAUGCGUUGAUAUCGGGAGGAACUCCGGCGGCGAAAGCGGUGCACUGGUGGAUUACUGACGCUGAGGUGCGAAAGCCAGGGGAGCAAACGGG